rnacentral:lncRNA from 1 species
GGUUCAGUUACUACAUUAUGCCACUAUGUCAGAAAGGAAGAAGAAGGAGAAGGAGAAGGAGAAGAAGAAGAACUUUGAUAAAUUAAGGAAUGGAGAAAAGAAACCUAAAACAGUUGUUUUACUAUUUGGCCAAAGUUCACACAGGUUUGUAUGUCAGGCUCCUUCAGUACCUCAAGCUGCUUUAGUUCUCUAUCAUCUAAGCAUACCCAAGGGUUUGUUUGAGUCUACAGCUUAAUAUUGCCUAGGAAAGUUAAAAAUCUCAACAGUGGUAUUGGAUAAAACCAUCACAUGCCUACUAAACCAUUUACUCUCACCUUACCUCUGAGUUUUACAAGCUCCAAGUUAUUUUAGCAGCAUCUAUGUUGUUGUUAGUGCUUAAACUAGAUAUUCCACACCGUGAUUUCUUAGAGGUUGUUUUAAGACUCAAUGAAUUUGUUUUAUGUACAAUCUGGGCAAGAAUAUCCUGCUGAUACUCUCUAUCCAGUCUCUUCAUCAAGCUCAACACUUUAUGAACACUUGAAGAAAGGCAGAUGAUACCACAGAAACCAAGAUCAAAUAAGCAAAAAGAGUUAUCAAGAGGAAAGAUGUAGUCAUUACUGUGAUUCAUGCUUGUAAUUCUAACACUCGGGUGACUGGGGCAGGAACAUCAUAGGUGUGAACCAUCCUUAGCUACAUAAUGUGUUUGAGGACAGCCUGGGCUAGCUAGUGAAACCC